rnacentral:rRNA from 1 species
UUAAUUUGAGAGUUUGAUCCUGGCUCAGGACGAACGCUGGCGGCGUGCCUAAUACAUGCAAGUCGAGCGCGUGAAACUAACUGAUCCCUUCG